AGAGAAUUGCUUGAACCCGGGAGGCGUAGGUUGCAGUGAGUUGAGAUCGUGCCACUGCACUCCAGCCUGGGCAACAGAG
rnacentral:snRNA from 1 species